UUUCGAUAGCCUAAAAGUUAACUCAAAUUUGUAUGCAGUAGGAACGUUUGCCUACGUUUGCCGCUAGGGACGCUGUUCCAAUUGAACACAAAUUUCAGUUAAUUUUCACACUAUUAA
rnacentral:pre_miRNA from 9 species